rnacentral:rRNA from 1 species
GAUGAACGCUGGCGGCGUGCUUAACACAUGCAAGUCGAACGAAGAUGCCGGAGUGCUUGCACUUUGGCAGACUGAGUGGCGGACGGGUGAGUAACGCGUGGGUAACCUGCCUUAUACAGGGGGAUAACAGUUGGAAACGACUGCUAAUACCGCAUAAGCGCACGGUAUCGCAUGAUACAGUGUGAAAAACUCCGGUGGUGUGAGAUGGACCCGCGUCUGAUUAGCUAGUUGGCAGGGCAACGGCCUACCAAGGCGACGAUCAGUAGCCGACCUGAGAGGGUGACCGGCACAUUGGGACUGA